GUUGAACGCUGGCGGCAUGCCUAACACAUGCAGGUCGAGCGGAUGAAGGGGGAUUGCUCCUGGAUUCAGCGGCGGACGGGUGAGUAAUGCAUAGGAAUCUGCCUGGUAGUGGGGGAUAACGUACGGACACGGGCGCUAAUCCCGCAUACGUCCAGAGGGAGAAAGUGAGGGAUCUACGGACAUCACGCUCUCAGGUUAGCCUUGGUCGGAUUAGCUAGUUGGUGGGGUAAAGUCCUACCAGGGAGACGUGCCGAAACUGGCCUGAGAGGAUGAUCAGGCACCCGGGAACUGGGACACGGUCCAGACUCUUACGGGGGGCAGCAUUGGGGAACAUUGGACAAUGGGCGAAGGCCUGAGGCAGCAAUGCCGCGGGGGUGAAGAAGGUCUUCGGAUGGUAAAGCACUUUGAGUUGGGAGGAAGGGCAGUGUGUUAAUACCUUGCUGUUUUGACGUUACCUACAGAAUAAGCACCGGCUAACUACGUG
rnacentral:rRNA from 1 species